rnacentral:other from 1 species
AACUCCCGGGGAAUAAGGGCAUCGCCUCCUUUUGGUGAAGGACACUCCCUUCUGAUGGAGAAUGGGAACUCCCUUCCUCCUGCAGAGGCCUGCCUGCAGCACUCCCGUUAGGUCACCCUGGACGCUGUAGGCUGCUGUGGCUGCCUCGCCCCAGAAAGAAAGUGCCCCAGAGCC